CCUACGGGGGGCGGCAGUGAGGAAUAUUGGUCAAUGGACGAGAGUCUGAACCAGCCAAGUAGCGUGAAGGAUGACUGCCCUAUGGGUUGUAAACUUCUUUUAUAUGGGAAUAAAAUGUUCCACGUGUGGGAUUUUGUAUGUACCAUAUGAAUAAGGAUCGGCUAACUCCGUGCCAGCAGCCGCGGUAAUACGGAGGAUCCGAGCGUUAUCCGGAUUUAUUGGGUUUAAAGGGAGCGUAGGUGGAUUGUUAAGUCAGUUGUGAAAGUUUGCGGCUCAACCGUAAAAUUGCAGUUGAAACUGGCAGUCUUGAGUACAGUAGAGGUGGGCGGAAUGCGUGGUGUAGCGGUGAAAUGCUUAGAUAUCACGAAGAACUCCGAUUGCGAAGGCAGUUCACUGGACUGCAACUGACACUGAGGCUCGAAAGUGUGGGUAUCAAACAGGAUUAGAUACCCCUGUAGUC
rnacentral:rRNA from 1 species